GGGUUGUGAGGUUAAGCGACUAAGCGUACACGGUGGAUGCCCUGGCAGUCAGAGGCGAUGAAGGACGUGCUAAUCUGCGAUAAGCGUCGGUAAGGUGAUAUGAACCGUUAUAACCGGCGAUUUCCGAAUGGGGAAACCCAGUGUGAUUCGUCACACUAUCAUUACGUGAAUACAUAGCGUAAUGAAGCGAACCGGGGGAACUGAAACAUCUAAGUACCCCGAGGAAAAGAAAUCAACCGAGAUUCCCCCAGUAGCGGCGAGCGAACGGGGAGGAGCCCAGAGCCUGAAUCAGCAUGUGUGUUAGUGGAAGCGUCUGGAAAGGCGCGCGAUACAGGGUGACAGCCCCGUACACAAAAGCGCAUAUGCUGUGAGCUCGAUGAGUAGGGCGGGACACGUGGUAUCCUGUCUGAAUAUGGGGGGACCAUCCUCCAAGGCUAAAUACUCCUGACUGACCGAUAGUGAACCAGUACCGUGAGGGAAAGGCGAAAAGAACCCCGGCGAGGGGAGUGAAAAAGAACCUGAAACCGUGUACGUACAAGCAGUGGGAGCCCCACCACCAAAGCAUUCUCUGGUGUUGAAGGCCCUGCAAAGCAGCAUCGCGGUGGCGGAGCGUCGUUUGCGACGCCCAACACACAAAACAAGCGGUGAGUGCUUUGGGGUGGGGUGACUGCGUACCUUUUGUAUAAUGGGUCAGCGACUUAUAUUCUGUAGCAAGGUUAACCGCAUAGGGGAGCCGGAGGGAAACCGAGUCUUAAUUGGGCGUUAAGUUGCAGGGUAUAGACCCGAAACCCGGUGAUCUAGCCAUGGGCAGGUUGAAGGUUGGGUAACACUAACUGGAGGACCGAACCGACUAAUGUUGAAAAAUUAGCGGAUGACCUGUGGCUGGGGGUGAAAGGCCAAUCAAACCGGGAGAUAGCUGGUUCUCCCCGAAAGCUAUUUAGGUAGCGCCUCGUGAAUUCAUCUCCGGGGGUAGAGCACUGUUUCGGCUAGGGGGUCAUCCAG
rnacentral:rRNA from 1 species